UACGUAGGGUGCGAGCGUUGUCCGGAAUUAUUGGGCGUAAAGAGCUCGUAGGCGGUCUGUCGCGUCGAUCGUGAAAACUUGGGGCUUAACCCUGAGCUUGCGGUCGAUACGGGCAUGACUGGAGUUCGGCAGGGGAGACUGGAAUUCCUGGUGUAGCGGUGAAAUGCGCAGAUAUCAGGAGGAACACCGGUGGCGAAGGCGGCCGCUGGUCGGCCGAUACUGACGCUGAGGUGCGAAAGCGUGGGGAGCGAAACAGG
rnacentral:rRNA from 1 species